rnacentral:rRNA from 1 species
AGCAGCCGCGGUAAUUCCAGCUCCAAUAGCGUAUAUUAAAGUUGUUGCAGUUAAAAAGCUCGUAGUUGAAUUUCGGGGUUAGUAGGCUGGUCAUGCCACCGGUAUGUACUGGUCUUUCUGAUUCCUCCUUCCUGAUGAACUGUAAUGCCAUUAAUUUGGUGUUGCAGGGAAUCUGGACUGUUACUUUAGAAAAAAUUAGAGUGUUUAAAGCAGGCUAACGCUUGAAUACAUUAGCAUGGAAUAAUGAAAUAGGACGCUCGAUCCUAUUUUGUUGGUUUCUAGGAUUGACGUAAUGAUUAAUAGGGAUAGUUGGGGGGCAUUAGUAUUCAAUUGUCAGAGGUGAAAUUCUUGGAUUUAUUGAAGACUAACUACUGCGAAAGCAUUUGCCAAGGAUGUUUUCAUUAAUCGAGAACGAAAGUUAGGGGAUCGAAGACGAUCAGAUACCGUCGUAGUCUUAACCAUAAACUAUGCCGACUAGGGAUCGGAUGAUGUUAAUUUUUUAAUUGACUCAUUC